rnacentral:rRNA from 1 species
GAUGAACGCUGGCGGCGUGCCUAAUACAUGCAAGUCGAGCGAACGGACGAGAAGCUUGCUUCUCUGAUGUUAGCGGCGGACGGGUGAGUAACACGUGGAUAACCUAGCUAUAAGACUGGGAUAACUUCGGGAAACCGGAGCUAAUACCGGAUAAUAUUUUGAACCGCAUGGUUCAAAAGUGAAAGACGGUCUUGCUGUCACUUAUAGAUGGAUCCGCGCUGCAUUAGCUAGUUGGUAAGGUAACGGCUUACCAAGGCAACGAUGCAUAGCCGACCUGAGAGGGUGAUCGGCCACACUGGAACUGAGACACGGUCCAGACUCCUACGGGAGGCAGCAGUAGGGAAUCUUCCGCAAUGGGCGAAAGCCUGACGGAGCAACGCCGCGUGAGUGAUGAAGGUCUUCGGAUCGUAAAACUCUGUUAUUAGGGAAGAACAUAUGUGUAAGUAACUGUGCACAUCUUGACGGUACCUAAUCAGAAAGCCACGGCUAACUACGUG